rnacentral:rRNA from 1 species
GNUGAGUAAUGUAUAGGAAUCUACCUAGUAGUACGGAAUAAUUGUUGGAAACGGCAACUAAUACCGUAUACGCCCUACGGGGGAAAAAUUUAUUGCUAUUAGAUGAGCCUAUAUUAGAUUAGUUAGUUGGUGAGCUAAAGGCUUACCAGGACAAUGAUCUAUAGCUGAUCUGAGAGGAUGAUCAGCCACACUGGAACUGAGAUACGGUCCAGACUCCUACGGGAGGCAGCAGUGGGGAAUAUUGGACAAUGGGCGAAAGCCUGAUCCAGCCAUGCCGCAUGAGUGAAGAAGGCCUUCGGGUUGUAAAGCUCUUUUAGUGAGGAAGAUAAUGACGGUACUCACAGAAGAAGUCCUGGCUAACUCUGUGCCAGCAGCCGCGGUAAUACGGAGAGGGCUAGCGUUAUUCGGAAUCAUUGGGCGUAAAGGGCGCGUAGGCGGGUUAAUAAGUUAAAAGUGAAAUCCCAAGGCUCAACCUUGGAACUGCUUUUAAAACUGCUAGUCUAGAGAUUGAAAGAGGAUAGAGGAAUUCCUAGUGUAGAGGUGAAAUUCGUAAAUAUUANGAGGAACACCAGUGGCGAANGCGUCUAUCUGGNUUCAAAUCUGACGCUGAGGCGCGAAGGCGUGGGGAGCAAA